GCGGGUGUAACUCAGUUGGUAGAGUGCUAGACUUCCAAUCUAGAUGCCGCAGGUUCAAACCCUGUCACCCGCACCA
rnacentral:tRNA from 1 species